CCCCAAGGGGGUUCAGAGGGUCCAGGGUGCUGCCCUAGGGGGUUUGGGGUCCAGGGUGCUGCCCAAGGGGGUUUGGGCUCCAGCUGGAGUUCCCUGAAACCUUUGGCCAGCAGGGCUUGGCUGUAGAAGAGCAAAUCUGGCUCUUUGCUCAAGGACCAGCUUAGGCCGAAUUUCCUAACCCAAUUUAAAUUGGGCCUUGAGCUGGCAGAGCAUUUCUGAGCCCUGUGUCUCCCUCCUCCUGUACCCCAGUGAAACCUCCCCAAACUGAAGGGUUCUUGUCCCUGUGCUUGUCCCACACAGGCCCUGCUGAGCUGCUCGAGGCCUGGCUGGCUCAGUUCAGCCUGGAGGAGAAGAAAGGGGAGAUUGCAGAGCUGCUGGCCACCAGCCCUUCCAUCAGGGCACUCUACACCAAAAUGGUGCCUGUGGCUGUUUCCCACCUGGAGUUCUGGCAGCGCUACUUCUACAAACUGCAUUGCCUGGAGCAGGAUGAAGCCCGGAGGGAGGCUCUGAAGCAGCGAGCAGAGCAGAGCAUGCAGCAAGAGGAGCCAGGCUGGGAGGAGGAUGAAGGUGGGACAGGUUUUGGGGCUUUCAUGGGGUGGUGGCUUCUCCUCACUGCCACAAAUCACAGAGAUCUCUGCUCUGUGAGCAGUGGUGGGAUCUGAGGGAAUGCCUGGAGCUGUGUCAGGUUGGAAAUGAGGAAAUGUUCUCCCCCCCUGAGGGUGCUGGCACUGCCCAGGCUCCCCAGGGAAUGGGCACAGCCCCAAAGCUGGCACAGCUCCAGGCCAAGGCUCUCAGGGAUGCCCAGGGUGGGAUUUUUGGGGUGUCUGUGCAGGGCCAGGGGUUGGCCUGGGUGAUCCCUGUGGGUCCCUCCCAGCUCAGGGCAUUCUGUGAUUCUGUGCAAUCCAGCUCAGGGCAUUCUGU
rnacentral:lncRNA from 1 species